GCGGGGAUAGCUCAGUUGGGAGAACAUCAGAUUAAAGAUCUGAAGAUUGUGUUCGAUCCACGCUCACCGCA
rnacentral:tRNA from 1 species